GUGUUUGUUUUGGCAGCACAUAAAUUUGAAAUAAUACAGAGAAGAUUAGCAUGCCUCCUGCACAAAUUGAGAUUGCCCCAUCUUGUAGACAUAUAAGAGAUUUUA